rnacentral:misc_RNA from 1 species
AAAUGGGAGUUUAUAGAAUAUUGUAUGGUUACGGAAGCUAUUUUCAUAACCCUCUAUGGCUAGGGAACAGUGUUGCCAAUGAAUAAAAGUACACGACUAAAAAGAAAGACUAAAAAGCCCUUCAAUUUCCAUAAUCUCUUUUUGCCUGCUACCUCUGCACAAUAGUCAUCUCAUAUAUUUUUAAAAUUUUUUAAUUUCAUUUUUGAAUAACAAUUGGAAUACAAUGCCACAAUUAUAUCACCAAAAGUACUCUUUUCAAAUUCUUCUUUGCUUUCUGAGUCAAUGCCAAAACAGAUGCCAAAUCUAUCAGCAUUGAAUGAAAUAGCCUUAUUAAUAUUAAGUAGACUCAGAAAUAGUUUUAGAUUCCAUGGAUCUCCACUACUGUCUCUCUUUCAAUUUUUUUUGUUUUUCAUGAUGACUACUAUUGCUAGUAAAACUGAACCUUUCCAUUUCUUCCAUUUGCACUUGAAGAAGGGAAGAAAUUAUGUACUUAUCCUCAAAAAGGUAGAGAUGACAUGACAAGAAGAGUGGGAGAGAGAUGGCCAAGUACCGAGAGGGAGAAUAGAGCACGGUUGGGAAAACAAAUAAAAUAAUAUGAUUAACUGAUUUUUUUCAAGUAUGUUUUAUAACUUUUUAUUCGAUAAAUUAGCUUUGGCCUAUUUGAAAGUGGCUGUAGAAAUAGCCCUAGCCUUGGAUUAUAGUUUACAAAGACAUAAGAUCUUAAAUUUUGUGUUUUACAGAGAUUAUAUAGGGAGUUAUCUAGAUUGGAGAUCCCUG